AUAAAAGUCGUAACAAGGUUUCCGUAGGUGAACCUGCGGAAGGAUCAUUAACGAAUUGCGUUCGGGGUUGUUGCUGGUUUCUUUUUGAAGCAUGUGCACACCUCGCAAUCCAUUUUCAAACCACACAUGUGCACUUCAGAGGGAGACCUCUUCUGGUCUCUCCUCUUUUCAUUACAAACCACAAUAAAGUCUUUUGUAUUAUUGAUCGUAUGAUAAACUAAAAUACAACUUUCAACAACGGAUCUCUUGGCUCUCGCAUCGAUGAAGAACGCAGCGAAAUGCGAUAAGUAAUGUGAAUUGCAGAAUUCAGUGAAUCAUCGAAUCUUUGAACGCACCUUGCGCUCCUUGGCAUUCCGAGGAGCAUGCCUGUUUGAGUGUCGUGUAAUUCUCAAUCUCAACUUGUUUGUUGUAGAUUGGAUUUGGGAGCUUGUCGUGCCUCUUAGAGGUUAGACUCUCCUUGAAUGCAUUAGCUCGGUCACGUAGUUUGCCCGACGGUUCACGGUGUGAUAGUUUCACUUCAUCGCCGUUCUAACCUUUGGUGCCUGUGUUUUUACCGGCUUCUAAUCUCUGGCAAUCAGUGUCUUUCAUUAGAUAUUGACACGCCUAUAACUUUAACGCUUGACCUCAAAUCAGGUAGGAUUACCCGCUGAACUUAAGCAUAUCAAUAAGCCGGG
rnacentral:rRNA from 1 species